AUCACAGGUGUGGGUAAUCCAUUGGAGAGGGUUAAUGGUACCUAUAGUGGGGUGUACCCAUAUGUGGUUCCUUUCCGUGUGGUGUAUGGGGACAAGGGGCUCCUCCCAAUAAUAUUUUAGAGAACACCCCUGUGUGCAGUAGUUCAAAUUGCACAAUCAGGCUAUGCACAUUAAAUAUAUAUUAAAUCCCCACAAUUGUAAUUGCAGUGAAUACAAUCAUAGAUAUUUUUAAAAUCAUAAAUUGUAGAAGCACCUGGUGAGCAGGCAGUUGAAUUCCAUGUAGUCAGAGGUCCUGGACAGUCCGUAUGUAG